rnacentral:rRNA from 1 species
UACAGAGGUCUCAAGCGUUGUUCGGAUUCAUUGGGGCGUAAAAGGGUGUGUAGGUGGCGCCGUAAGUCGGGUGUGAAAAUUUCGGAGCUUAACUCCGAAACUGCAUUCGAUACUGCGGUGCUUGAGGACUGGAGAGGGAGACUGGAAUUCAUGGUGUAGCAGUGAAAUGCGUAGAGAUCAUGAGGAAGACCAGUGGCGAAGGCGGGUCUCUGGACAGUUCCUGACACUGAGGCACGAAGGCCAGGGGAGCAAAACGGGG